GCGUCAUUUAAACUCUCAAGCCCCGCUUGGUGUUGGGUGCAGGUCCCUCACGAGACCCGCCCGUAACUAGUUGGCGGUACCGUUCGGCUUCAAGCGUAGCAAGAAUUUUCCCUCGCUUCAGAAGCUCCGGGCGCGCCUGCCAGGGAAUCACACCCCUAAAGUUUGACCUCGGAUCAGGUAGGGAUACCCGCUGAACUUAA
rnacentral:misc_RNA from 1 species